UGGGGAAUUUUGGACAAUGGGCGAAAGCCUGAUCCAGCAAUGCCGCGUGUGUGAAGAAAGCCUUCGGGUUGUAAAGCACUUUUGUCCGGAAAGAAAUCCUUGGCUCUAAUACAGUCGGGGGAUGACGGUACCGGAAGAAUAAGCACCGGCUAACUACGUGCCAGCAGCCGCGGUAAUACGUAGGGUGCAAGCGUUAAUCGGAAUUACUGGGCGUAAAGCGUGCGCAGGCGGUUUGCUAAGACCGAUGUGAAAUCCCCGGGCUCAACCUGGGAACUGCAUUGGUGACUGGCAGGCUAGAGUAUGGCAGAGGGGGGUAGAAUUCCACGUGUAGCAGUGAAAUGCGUAGAGAUGUGGAGGAAUACCGAUGGCGAAGGCAGCCCCCUGGGCCAAUACUGACGCUCAUGCACGAAAGCGUGGGGAGCAAAACAGGAUUAGAUACCCUGGUAGUCCACGCCCUAAAACGAUGUCAACUAGUUGUUGGGGAUUCAUUUCCUUAGUAACGUAGCUAACGCGUGAAGUUGACCGCCUGGGGAGUACGGUCGCAAGAUUAAAACUCAAAGGAAUUGAC
rnacentral:rRNA from 1 species